ACUAAUAACGAAUCAUGGUGACCAGUGAAAUAAUGGUCGUAAGUACUUGCGGGUCUUAAUCAUAUUGGGUAUCAGUUUGCUUGACCAGUAACAGCUUCUUGGCAUCUCCUGCACAUGGUUCCUCUUUCAAACAUUUCCUUCUGGAGAGCUUACAUUAAGGAUGAAAAGCUUUUAACUAUGUGCACAGAGAAGACAGGCAGCCUUUUUAAUCAUUUAUAGAAAGGGAUUAAUAACAAACAUUUUUAAAACAUCCAUAAUUAAAACAAUUCAUGCUCUAGGAAAAAAACAUAAUAACAUUCCAUUACUCUCCUAGGAAGAGAGAGAGGCAAUGAGCCAGUUCUGAGCCAAGUUCUAUGAGCCAGGCCUUCUCCCAGGCUCUGUCCAUUCUUUUUCAUUUGAUUUCUCAUACCCCCUUUUCAUGCAGUGUUAGUAGCCCCACUUUAUACAGGGUAGGGGAUGAAUCCUCAAGAUACCUCGCAUGCCAUUUUAAUAAACUACAAUGAGACAUUUUAACAUUCUUGUUUUCCUAGGUAACAUGGGUCAGAUUUUUGGAUCUCCUGUGAUCAGAAAUCUGGCUCCUUUUCCUGACAUCUAUCUGCUGCUGUAGCGUGAAGGCAGACGGCAGGGGAAGUUCACCUCAAGGAAGACUAGACUAAGACGUGGGGAAAGUACUGCCAGAAAGGGAGCCCCAGGGAUGGGUAGAAAGGAGAAAAAAGGGACAGAGAGGGAGGAAAGCAGUCGUGCGAUGGUCGGGGAUUCUCCCUCAACUUUGUGCUCACCUCUCCCCACCCUCUGUCUGAGCCCAUGAGCCAGUGAGAUCCCAAGGGGAAAGCCAAAAGCAGAGACGCUUUUCCCCAGGUUACAUCUGUAGUCUCAGAAAAGGUAUUAUCUCUCCAGUGCCUUCACCACCCAUCUCUGCAGGCAGUCCCGCAAGAUGGCAGGGGUUGUGCGAACACAGGCUCUGAAGCUUUGCUAUGCUUGAAGACAGUUGGCUUAAAUGGAAUAAAUGAAGGGAAGAUAGAAAAUGAGGUCAGAAAGUCCCCAAAGGUCAGUUCACAUGAGACUUUGUGCCACAGGAAGAUACUUGAUUAUACUCCAAGUGUGACAACGAGUCAUCAGAAAGUUUUGAGCAUGGAAAUCACCAGGUUUAUCUCUGUUUGUAGAAAAUCAUUUCAGCUGCUGUAUGGAAUAUGACUGUAGUGGGACAAGGUGGAAACAAGGAGAUCAGCUGGAUGGGUUACUGCAUUAGAUCGGGGGGAAAAAAUGAUAGCCCCUCAGACCAAGGUAGGGGCAAAGAAGUGAUGAGAAGUGGUCAGAUUUAUAAUGUAUUUUUAAGGCUGAGUCAAUAGGAUUUGCAAAUACAUUGAAUAUUGGAUGUAGGAGAAAAAGAAAUCUAAGUUGAAGAUUAUGUUUUGGGCUCUGGCAGCAGACAAAUGGUGCUGAUAGUCGCCAAAAUAAAGAAUCUUUGGGGAAGAUCUUAUUGUGGGGAUAGAGGUCAAAGUGCGUGUUUUGGGUUUGCUUAGUGUGAGAUGACAAUUAGCCUUCCAAGUAAAAGUGUUGAGCUGACUACUGCCUAAAAAAGGGUAGCAUUCAAGAGAGAGUGGUGCUAGAGACGGAAAGUUGAGUUAAGGGCUCCUGGGCUGAGUGAGAUCCCCUGGAGAGUGAGUGUAAUGAGAAAAGGGAAGGUUGAAGGAUCUAGCACCGGAUCAUUCCAAACUGACUGAUUAGGACAUGACGAGGAAACAGCAAGAGAGACUGAGAAUAGGCAGCAAGGGCUUAGGAGGAAACUGGGAGAUGUUGUCCCAGAAGAAGUGAAGAAAGGAGGUAUAGUCAUAGUUAUCGAUGCUGAGAGGUUGAGUAAACUGAGGACUGAGAUUUAACCACUGGAUUUACUAACAUGAAGGCUAUUGAUGACUCCAAUAAAAAAGGUUUCAGGAGUUCCUGUCGUGGCUCAGCAGAAACGAAUCUGACUAGCAUCCAUGGGGACGCAGGGUCGAUCCCUGGCCUUGCUCGGUGGGUUAAGGAUCCAGUGUUGCCGUGAGCUGUGGUGUAGGUUGCAGACAUGGCUUGGAUCUGGCAUUGCUGUGGCUGUGGUUGUAGGCUGGCAGCUGUAGCUCCGAUUCGACCCCUAGCCUGGGAACCUCCAUAUGCCACAGGGGCGACCCUAAAAAGACCAAAAAAAAAAAAUGAGAUAUAUACUAGAGGUGUUAGUUUGAGCACUGGGAUUAGAAAGAGAGAAAUAAAACUAUCUUUCCUCACAUGUGAUAUAACUUCCACACAGGAAGACCAAAAGAAUAUGUCAUCCAAGUAUUAUAAUCAAUAAGAGAGAUCACUGAUAUUGCUAGAUAGAAGACCAAUGUUCAAUAAUCAACAGGAUUACUACACACAAUAACAAAGUGCAAAAACCUUAAAGCCAUUUGCAAUCUCAAAGAGACUUAGAAUAAAAUUGUAAAUCUUUAUUGAAAGAAAUUAAAGAUCUGAACAAAUCAAUCAAGAGAUAAACCAUAUUUGUGUGUAGAAAGAGUCAGUUUUGUAA
rnacentral:lncRNA from 1 species